ensembl:lncRNA
GAUGCUCAGUUUGAGAAGCUUGAGAUAGGGACUGCGUGUCUUGGCAGCUGCAGAGGACAGAAGCAGCAGCCCAUGAUGGUGAAGUCACGCUGAUCUUCUGCUCGCAAUGGUUUGUCACAGUGCCAAGUGGUCACAGCAGGUACAAGUGAAUGGAGAUGAGAAAAUCAGAGCAGCACAGGGAAAACAUAAUUCUGCACAACUGGGACCUGAAAGAAUGCAAUAGAAAUUACAAGAGAGGCUUGCUUUGAAUGGAAAUGUAUUCAACAAACAGUAGCCGUGGCAAGACCUGUAGAGAGAUAUACAUGAAAAGUGAAUUUAGAAACAAAGCAAAAUAAGCUGGACAUAAUGCCAGGAACUAGCUGACCCAGCUGCUUUCUCCCAGACUUGUUUAGAGCAGGGAACAGCUCCAUAAUUCAUACAUCAAGCUGGAAACUGGAAACAGUGCUUGUGGGAAUAAGAUGCUCUGCCAUCCAAGUCGGCUGGAGCCGUGCUCUCAGCAAGGGCCUUCUCCCUCCUGUCGCAUGGCUUCAAGCAGUUGUGCCUUCAUAGGAAGAUGGAGUGUGGACAUAUUUGGAGACAGAGUGCUUGGCCUCUGCAGAGAUGUGAAAAAAUACCUUGUCGUUCAGUCAAGAACUGACUAAUAUAUGGGAUCGUCACCUCCUGGCCAGCUUCUUGCCCAGCCCGUGUGCUCACCAGGGUGCAUGGGACCUCCGGCCCUUCCAUGAGUUCCCUGACCCACUGGGUUCCCUGGGCCACUGAGCCCAGAGCUGGCAGCAGGAUGCUCAAGAUCUCUGUAGAAGGCAAAUGGCAGAAUUAAGAAAAGCAAACAAACGCACAAACAGAUUUUGACUUCCUCACUGUUAUACUGAAUCUUGGAUGACGUCCUCUUGGUUGCAUGUUCCCAAUGACUGUACGAGCAUGUCUGAGAUGAGUAAAUGGCACUAAUGUAGGUAAAAGCUGGUGAAUGUAAAACGUUGGCACUGGAAAUGAAAUCUGGCUUCUGGGGCUCGUUUGUCUCAUUUCUUGAUCUUUUUUUUGCUAGGCAGGUUUAGGCUCAGUCCACGUGGAAACCUCAAGGGGAAGCCAGGGUUAGUUUUCAGUCAGCAGAGUUCUUUUUCAGAAGCUCCCAUAGAUACCCUUUUAAAAUGAGGAAAUAGCAAAACUGUAAGCUGGGAAGUAAAUCCUUGGUCUUUUCCCAAGCAGUCUGGCUGUGUUAGGAUGCCCUAACCUUCAGAUUUGUUCUUCUGUUAAUUCAUUGGCAGAUGACUCUAACACAGAUCAAUCCAAAAAUGAGUUUUUAUUGGAAAAAAAAAAAAAAAAAAAGAAAAAAAAAAGUCCAGAGUAUUGAAAGAUUGUUCAUCUCUGUAGGCAAAACAACCACGUCUACCUUCCGUUUUGAAUAAAUUCAGAUGUUAACUGAAGUGGCCUGGCUUAUUUCCAGUUUACAGUAAUUCUAUUCUGCUUGCCUGAAAUUCUCCUUUUAAUACAACUCUGAUGAAGUGAUUGUCAUCUCUCAACUGCCUGCAGUGGUUGCAAAGUGCUGCAGGAGCAAUAGUGGUUAUGAAAGUGGCAAGGAAAGGGAUUUCUUUAGAGGCAGUGAUAAAACUUUCAAAAGUAUCCUCCUUCUCUGGCAGAAGUCUGUUUCCCUUGAAGAACCUGGGAAUCCCCACAGACAUUCCAUUGAUGGGAGCCAAAGGAAGCCAGCACACGUGGCUUUGAACAUCCUGGUGCUACUCCAGCCCAUUCUACAUGGAUAUGCUGAAGCCAUUUAGACUGCUAGCUGGCUGGAGAGACAUAAGUUAUGUGCAGGAAAAAAACAAAGCUGGAACUCUAAAAAUCAAUGCCAUUGGGUAUGAACAAUGAGGGUAGAUGACAAAGGCAAUUUUAUUCCCACCAUGAUGGCUUGUUUCUAGUUUCCUUCAAUGUCGUAUUUUGCCUAAUGUUUUUCUGGAAGAGAAGUGGCUUGAAAUCUCCCGUGAAAGUGGAGGAGCAGAG